rnacentral:rRNA from 1 species
CCUACGGGUGGCAGCAGUGGGGAAUAUUGCGCAAUGGGCGAAAGCCUGACGCAGCGACGCCGCGUGAGGGAUGAAGGUCUUCGGAUCGUAAACCUCUUUCAGCAGGGAAGAACGGUCACUGUGCUAAUCAGCAGUGAAUUGACGGUACCUGCAAAGGAAGCACCGGCUAACUCCGUGCCAGCAGCCGCGGUAAUACGGAGGGUGCGAGCGUUAAUCGGAAUUACUGGGCGUAAAGCGCUCGUAGGCGGUAUGUCAAGUCAAGGGUGAAAUCCCCGCGCUCAACGUGGGAACUGCCUUUGAAACUGGCAAACUGGAGUGUGUGAGAGGAUAGUGGAAUUCCAGGUGUAGGAGUGAAAUGCGUAGAUAUCGGGAGGAACAUCAGUGGCGAAGGCGACUAUCUGGCACAUAACUGACGCUGAGGAGCGAAAGCGUGGGUAGCAAACAGGAUUAGAUACCCUGGUAGUC